rnacentral:rRNA from 1 species
AGAGAGAGACAUGCGCGCAUAUCAAUAAGCGGAGGAAAAGAAACUAACAAGGAUUCCCCUAGUAACGGCGAGUGAAGCGGGAAGAGCUCAAAUUUGAAAUCUUAAAGGGUUUCCCUUUACGAAUUGUAGUUUAAAGAAGUGUUUUCUGUUGAGGUUUUGGUAAAAGUUCUUUGGAAUAGGACAUCAUAGAGGGCUGAGAAUCCCGUAUUUGACCUUUACUUUCAACUUUGUGAUACACCUUCAAAGAGUCGGAUUGUUUGGGAAUGCAGUCCAAAAUGGGUGGUAAAUUUCAUCUAAAGCUAAAUAUUGGCGAGAGACCGAUAGCGAACAAGUACCGUGAGGGAAAGAUGAAAAGAACUUUGAAAAGAGAGUUAAACAGUACGUGAAAUUGUCAAAAGGGAAGCGUUUGACACCAGUGUUGUUUUUCUGAAAAUCAAUUAAAGAACUGUUUAUGCUAAGUUGUUUAGACUUUAUCAGCUAACUGUUUAGUUUUGAGCUUUUCUUUAAUGCACUUUUCAGUUAACAAGUCAACAUCAAUUUCUUUUGCUGUAAAAAAGCUUGAGGAAGGUGGCUUGAGAUUCGUCUUAAGUGUUUAUAGCCUCUUGCCUAUGCAGUCGGAGAGAUUGAGGUCUGCAGCGUAGAUCCUUCGGGGCUAAAUGCAUUUGUGCUAAGUUAUAGCACUUUAUAGACAACUUGUUGACUAUGAUCUGUCAUGUAGCUUACUCGCUUAUGCUAUUUUACCUACGCUUAGGAUGUUGAGCGCAUGUCUCUCUCU